AAAAAGCUCGUAGUCGGAUUUUGGCUGAGAACGAACGGUCCGCCGUUAGGUGUGCACUGUUUGGUCUCAGCUUCCUGGUGAGGAGGUGUGCUUCACGGCCACUUAGUCACCGUGGUUACUUUGAAAAAAUUAGAGUGUUCAAAGCGGGCUUACGCUUGAAUAUAUUAGCAUGGAAUAACACCAUAGGACUCCUGUCCUAUUUCGUUGGUCUCGGGACGGGAGUAAUGAUUAAGAGGAACAGUUGGGGGCAUUCGUAUUUCAUUGUCAGAGGUGAAAUUCUUGGAUUUAUGAAAGACGAACUUCUGCGAAAGCAUUUGCCAAGGAUGUUUUCAUUGAUCAAGAACGAAAGUAGGGGGCUCGAAGAUGAUUAGAUACCAUCCUAGUCUCAACCAUAAACGAUGCCGACUAGGGAUUGGCGGACGUUAAUUGAUGACUUCGCCAGCACCUUAUGAGAAAUCAAAGUUUUUGGGUUCCGGGGGGAGUAUGGUCGCAAGGCUGAAACUUAAAGGAAUUGACGGAAGGGCACCACCAGGCGUGGAGCCUGCGGCUUAAUUUGACUCAACA
rnacentral:rRNA from 1 species